CUAGCCUGGAGGGAAAGAGCGAGCAAGGAGUCACCAAACUCCAGGAGUUGACAAACGGCAGAGUUACAACACUCCGCAACAUCUUGAGGCACUCCUGACCAGCAGACACGUCCUCAUAAUACCUCUUCCGUCCAGAAGGGGAGAGAUCAUAGUCAUCGAGUAGUGUCUUGAGAUUGCAUUCUUACCCAAAUACUCUUCGUGAUUGCCUGCUUUGCGGCUUUGGGAUUCUUCAGGGAAUAGAGAACAUUCACAUAGAUUGAUACCCCAGCUUUCUCAGCAUGUCAAGUGCAGCUUUUUAUUUGCUGACAACUAACUCAAAAAUCAAAACUUGGUAUUUUGAGGUUUGUAUUUCCAAAUAUUAAGAGUCUGUUCCUUGUCUUAUGGCCCCACCCAGCACGUUCCUCAGUGGUCUACUUCAAACAAAAGAAAAUGACACCGCUUUCAACUAGCCAAAUGUUAGAUUCUCUCAAAACUGAUUGGGGACUCACUAGAAGUUUUGCAAUUAGAUUCACACAAAUUGAAUUAUUUUAUUUCUUCCCAAACAGCA